CUGUGAACAGCACUAUGAUUGUGGCGAGUCAUUUAGUGUUUUUGACUGUGAAGUGGGCGUACAACCGUUUAACGGAAAGGUUCACGGGCCCUGCACCACCAAGCAGGCAGCACCAACCUCCCUCUCCCCCUCCCCCACCAGCACCUGCACCUGCACAAAGAUUUAUCAUAAAUCCCCAUGACGCUGGUAGUUCCGUAGAUCCUCCAAAUUUUCACCCUCAGCCCAGGGCCCGACGACCAUGUUUGCGAGGGGGCUAAUGCAGAAGUCAGAGUUUGAAAAGGCCAUGGCUAUAGAUCUUCAACGCAAUGACGAUACAAAUGGGCCUUUGUACCAUGUAUGGAAUUUAUAUUUAAUGUACUUACUUAAAUAUAUACCGAAGAAAGGCUUCAAGACUACAUACAUGUACCACUUCAUAU